rnacentral:rRNA from 1 species
UACGUAGGGUGCAAGCGUUGCCCGGAUUUAUUGGGCGUAAAAGGGCGCGUAGGCGGCCCGGCGCGUCCGCGGUGAAAGCUCCCGGCUCAACUGGGAGAGGUCCGCGGAAACGGUCGGGCUGGAGCAAGGUAGGGGGUCGUGGAAUUCCCGGUGUAGGUGGUGGAAAUGCGUAGAGGAUCGGGAAGGAACACCAGUGGCGAAGGCGGCGACCUGGACCUGUGCGACGCUGAUGCGCGAA